CAAGUCGAGCGAGAUUUUUUCUUGUAGCAAUACAGGGAAAAGUCUAGCGGCGAACGGGUGCUUAACACGUGGGCAACCUGCCAAGAAGUGGGGGAUAGCUCGCCGAAAGGCGAAUUAAUACCGCAUGUGAUCAGAGUGGACAUCCAUUCGAAAUCAAAGUCGGGGCAACCUGACGCUUCUUGAGGGGCCCGCGGCCUAUCAGCUAGUUGGUGAGGUAACGGCCCACCAAGGCUUAGACGGGUAGCUGGUCUGAGAGGACGACCAGCCACACUGGGACUGAGACACGGCCCAGACACCUACGGGUGGCAGCAGUCGAGAAUUUUUCUCAAUGGGGGAAACCCUGAAGGAGCGACGCCGCGUGGAGGAUGAAUGUCUUCGGAUUGUAAACUCCUGUCAUUGGGGAACAAUGCGCAAAUAUUAACUGUAUUUGCGUUGAUAGUACCCGAAGAGGAAGAGACGGCUAACUCUGUGCCAGCAGCCGCGGUAAUACAGAGGUCUCAAGCGUUGUUCGGAUUCAUUGGGCGUAAAGGGUGCGUAGGCGGCGCGGUAAGUCGGGUGUGAAAUCUCGGAGCUUAACUCCGAAACUGCAUUCGAUACUGCCGUGCUUGAGGACUGGAGAGGAGACUGGAAUUUACGGUGUAGCGGUGAAAUGCGUAGAUAUCGUAAGGAAGACCAGUGGCGAAGGCGGGUCUCUGGACAGUUCCUGACGCUGAGGCACGAAGGCCAGGGGAGCAAACGGGAUUAGAUACCCCGGUAGUCCUGGCAGUAAACGGUGCACGUUUGGUGUGGGAGGAUUCGACCCCUUCUGCGCCGGAGCUAACGCGUUAAACGUGCCGCCUGGGGAGUACGGUCGCAAGAUUAAAACUCAAA
rnacentral:rRNA from 1 species